CCCGUCUCCUGGGAGGCAACGGGGGAGGACGGAUCCGCCCGCGUCUGACUCAAGCCGGGAGAGGAAUAUCCCCUCGCUCGCUCCAGCCCAACCCUCUUCCUCCUCCCCCGCCCGGCCGGCUCGCAGGAACCGGCGCGCAGCGGAGGGAGUCGCCCAGCCCCCUGCCUUCCCCAGAGGCUGGGGUUUCUUUCCGUGCCGGCUUCCCUGCCCCCAGCCCUCUGCCCGGCGUCCAGGAAUUGCCCGCCUGGGGAGGGGCCGAGGGGCGGGGCGGAUGUCACCCCAUGGGAAGCGGGCGGGCUGCCAAGCGCAGGGGCAGCCGAGGCCGCCGCCGAGCACGCUGCGCGCACCUGACCGCCGAGGGUGUGCGCCGCGGGCCCCUAGCUCCAGGGAGCUCCGCUCCGGGCACAGCCUGCGGGCCGCCAGGCACCCCCGCGCGCCCCCCCGGAUGCCCCCCUCCCUCCUUCGGCUAGUCAAGCCCAGAAGGAGACCGGGCGCGGUGCCCUGCGUUCCCUCCCUGCUCUGCCCCCUCCGGAGCAGAGGCGUCCGGGUCGCCUCCCCUCCGGCUGCGACGUUACACAACCGCGGCGGCAGCGCCUGCCCUCCAGCCGCCCGGGGCGUGACGCUUCACGUGGCCGGGGCUCGGGCGCAGCGCCGCCGACUGCGAGCCCCUCUGCUCCGGCUGGGGGACCGGGAGCCCUGGGACAUGGUGUGCCCUCCGGGGUCGGCCAUGCCCCCGCCUGCCGGGAACUUCGGCGGCGCUGUGUGCGGUCUGCACCCAGAGCAGGAGGGGAAGGGAGGCGAGAAAAACUGUCUGCCCAUCACAGUGAAAUCUUAGCAUCCGUUCAGUCGACACACGUUUGAGCCCCCUACUCUGUGCCAGGAGUGUGCCCGUUGCUAGAAACACUGGGGAGUCAAACAUAGCUUCUGCCCUGGAGUGUACGGGAACCCCUGGGAAGAGGAUAAAUCGAGCAAUGAGGGGACGGCAGCCCUGGGAAAAUUAUAUCGGUCCCACUGGCUGACAGAGAAAAAAGAUGUUUUGUUGUUGUUGCUUAAUUUUAUUUAAUACGAACCAAGAUGCCUGGGUAGAGCAGGACGGGGGAGAAGCUAACCCACUGCCCAGAGCGUGGGGCAGAAAGGCUGUCUCCGAACGGCCCCAGAUCUCUGCAAUCUCACUUAGGCCGCCGGAGGCCCCCGCCUACCUCCCCCGGAAAAGUCCGGUCUCUGUGACCUUCUAACUCAGCCCGGAGCAGGGAAAACAGCUGAAACGCCAGGCCCGCGGUGCGAGCCGUGCUGAUGCAGUCAGAGGAGGGAGCCAGUGGAAAUUCAUGACUAAAAUAAGGCCUGGCUGGGGAUUUCACUGACCUCUGCGCUGCCCUGCCCUGCAAGUUCGGGGAGUUGAGAGAUGACUGUGAGCCUUUCCCACCGCGCCUCGGCCAUCUCUCUGGAGGCAAUCAUUGGACCGCCACUUCCUGCCAGGAGGUGGGCUGCGGAACCACGGGCGAAGGAGGGGACUGGAGUCUGACCUGGGUAUUUGUCUGUUUGCCCCUUUCUACAGAGGAAUUUGGAGCAUACAAAUAAAUGCUCUAUCCAAGAAUAAAGUGGAAUGAGUUUGGAGAAAGAAAAAAAAAUAUGGAUAAGGAAAUGUCAUGAAUUGCCGGACAUAUAUACCCAAUAGCCGAACUCAGUCGCCAGCAGUGGGGAAAAAGAGAAAAGGAAAAAAAAAAGAAACUUUCUAGAAGUCAGAGCAAAGGCAAAUCUUUGCUACCUGUGAUUGUCAUUUGAUUUAUACUUAGCAGCCUGUGCCGGGCUGGAGGGAAGGACAGACGGCAAGCUUGGCUUAUAGCCAAUGUAGCAUACUCCUAUGGAGCCAUAUUAGUGAAUGCAUUAAAUUGCACCCUGAACUCUGAAUAUUCACUUUUCAAACAUCCAUCUGUCAUCCACCCACUCAGCCCAGUAGAGUGGCUGCUUAACUUCCCCAAUGAGUACCCGAUCUACAGAUGCUCCUACCUGGAGCAAAGUGGGUAAUAUCCAAGUUCAAGGGCUGUGUUUGCCCCCAUGGAAGUCACUCGGAGAGUCUGCUGCCCCUGAGGCUGGAAGGCGGAAGCCCUAUCUACAGGUGUCAGCUGGAACAAACAGUACAGCAGUCCUGAAGCAGAUGAUCCUCCUUCUGACGGAUCAGAAGGUCAAUAAUAGCCUAAAGCUACAUGCACAAAAGAAGCUGUGGACAAUAUGUAAACAAACGAACGUGGCUGUGUUCUAAGAAAACUAAGUGAACUUGGGGGUCAUCUCAGAAUUCUGCCUACCACCUCUAACCUGAAGAAUUAAAUCAGGUGUAAGGUUUGGAUCCAACUUUAAUUUCACAUCCCC
rnacentral:lncRNA from 1 species